GAUGAACGCUGGCGGCGUGCCUAAUACAUGCAAGUCGAGCGAACAGACGAGGAGCUUGCUCCUCUGACGUUAGCGGCGGACGGGUGAGUAACACGUGGAUAACCUACCUAUAAGACUGGGAUAACUUCGGGAAACCGGAGCUAAUACCGGAUAAUAUAUUGAACCGCAUGGUUCAAUAGUGAAAGACGGUUUUGCUGUCACUUAUAGGUGGAUCCGCGCCGCAUUAGCUAGUUGGUAAGGUAACGGCUUACCAAGGCAACGAUGCGUAGCCGACCUGAGAGGGUGAUCGGCCACACUGGAACUGAGACACGGUCCAGACUCCUACGGGAGGCAGCAGUAGGGAAUCUUCCGCAAUGGGCGAAAGCCUGACGGAGCAACGCCGCGUGAGUGAUGAAGGUCUUCGGAUCGUAAAACUCUUUUAUUAGGGAAGAACAAAUGUGUAAGUAACUAUUCACGUCUUGACGGUACCUAAUCAGAAAGCCACGGCUAACUACGUG
rnacentral:rRNA from 1 species